UAGGACCAAGGUGUGAAUUGAGUUUAGGAUCACUGUCACUGUCCUGAAACUAUCGCCCAAGUCUUGUUUUUUUWAAGUUUUUCAGGAACAUAACUUAAAAGAAAUUUCUGCUCAGCGCCACUAGAGGGAUUCUGC